AUUCAUCUUGACCUUCAACUCUUCAAAUCAGCAACAACCGCACGAUUCAAACCAUCCAACGGCUCACAGGUUUAACUUUGGCAUUUCUUCGUCUUAG